rnacentral:rRNA from 1 species
GACGAACCGAGCGAACGUUGUUCGGAAUCACUGGGCUUAAAGGGCGCGUAGGCGGGCUGUCAAGUUUGGGGUGAAAUCCCGCGGCUCAACCGUGGAACUGCCUCAAAUACUGACGGUCUCGAGGGAGGUAGGGGCGAGCGGAACUGAUGGUGGAGCGGUGAAAUGCGUUGAUAUCAUCAGGAACUCCGGUGGCGAAGGCGGAUCUCUGGACAGUUCCUGACGCUGAGGCACGAGGGCCAGGGGAGCAAACGGG